rnacentral:rRNA from 1 species
GAACGGAAAGGCCCUGCUUGCAGGGUACUCGAGUGGCGAACGGGUGAGUAACACGUGGGUGAUCUGCCCUGCACUUCGGGACAAGCUUGGGAAACUGGGUCUAAUACCGGAUAGGAACCAUCUUUAGUGUGGUGGUUGGAAAGUUUUUUCGGUGUAGGAUGAGCUCGCGGCCUAUCAGCUUGUUGGUGGGGUAAUGGCCUACCAAGGCGGCGACGGGUAGCCGGCCUGAGAGGGUGUACGGCCACAUUGGGACUGAGAUACGGCCCAGACUCCUACGGGAGGCAGCAGUGGGGAAUAUUGCACAAUGGGCGCAAGCCUGAUGCAGCGACGCCGCGUGGGGGGUGAAGGCCUUCGGGUUGUAAACUCCUUUCGCUAGGGACGAAGCUUUUUGUGACGGUACCUAGAUAAGAAGCACCGGCUAACUACGUGCCAGCAGCCGCGGUAAUACGUAGGGUGCGAGCGUUGUCCGGAAUUACUGGGCGUAAAGGGCUCGUAGGUGGUUUGUCGCGUCGUCUGUGAAAUUCUGGGGCUUAGCUCCGGGCGUGCAGGCGAUACGGGCAUAACUUGAGUGCUGUAGGGGUAACUGGAAUUCCUGGUGUAGCGGUGAAAUGCGCAGAUAUCAGGAGGAACACCGAUGGCGAAGGCAGGUUACUGGGCAGUUACUGACGCUGAGGAGCGAAAG